rnacentral:ncRNA from 1 species
UCCUGUGACUGACGGAAAUGUGGAGCACCACAGGGGAGCAGGAACGUGUGAACGCCGACCGUCUGGGCAUCUU